GACGAUGGGUUGCUGGUGGAGAAUGAAGAGGGUGGCUGUACCAUUUCGUAAAAAUGGGGCACAUGGUUGACCAACUGUACCAUCAUCAUUCU
rnacentral:snRNA from 18 species